rnacentral:lncRNA from 1 species
UAGAAAGGAAGACAAGAACAACAAGGUUGUGGAAUUCAGAAGCCAUAUAGACAAGAGCUGGGAAAACAGCAAUGGAUUAAUAACAAGAAAUUAAUGGUGAAGUGGUGACGAAAAUUCUACAUUGCUUAGAAAGCAAGCCCAUAGGUGGAAGGGACUUGCCUUGUCUCGGAUGAGACUUUGGACUUUGGACUGUGGACUUUUGAGUUAACACUGAAAUGAAUUAAUGCUGAAAUGAAUUAAGACUUUGGGAGACGGUUGAGAAGCCAUGACUCAUUUUAAAAUGUGAGACAUGCCUUUCACCUUCUGCCAUGAUUGUGAGGCCUCUCCAGCCAUGUGGAACUGUGAACACACAGUGUUCAUCCCCUCAGGAGGACACAGCUUUUGAGGUACCAUCUUGGAAGCAGAGACCAGCCCUCACUAGACACAAACUUCCUGGCACGUUGAUUUUGGACUUCAUAGCCUCUAGAACUGUGAGAAAUAAAUUUUUAUUAUUUAUAAAUUACCCUGUAUUGGAUAUUUUGUUAUAGCAGCACAAAAGGUCUAAGACAAU